rnacentral:tRNA from 1 species
CGGUCUGUAGCUCAGUUGGUAGAGCAGCUGACUCUUAAUCAGCGGGCCCUGGGUUCGAAUCCCAGCAGACCGACCA